rnacentral:rRNA from 1 species
UACGGGGGGGGGCAAGCGUUGUUCGGAAUUACUGGGCGUAAAGGGCUCGUAGGCGGCCAACUAAGUCAGACGUGAAAUCCCUCGGCUUAACCGGGGAACUGCGUCUGAUACUGGAUGGCUUGAGACCGGGAGAGGUGAGUGGAAUUCCCAGUGUAGCGGUGAAAUGCGUAGAUAUUGGGAGGAACACCAGUGGCGAAGGCGGCUCACUGGACCGGAACUGACGCUGAGGCGCGGAAAGCGGUGGGGAGCAAACAGGG